GAUAGAAACCAAAGAGAGGUGUGUCACUGUUAAUGAUAUAAUUGAAAUAAUUUCCUAUCA
rnacentral:tRNA from 1 species